rnacentral:rRNA from 1 species
GACGAACCGUGCGAACGUUGUUCGGAAUCACUGGGCUUAAAGGGCGCGUAGGCGGACCCCCAAGUCCGGGGUGAAAUCCUCCGGCUUAACCGGAGAAUUGCCUGGGAUACUGGGGGUCUUGAGGGAGGUAGGGGCACGCGGAACUUCCGGUGGAGCGGUGAAAUGCGCAGAUAUCAGGAGGAACACCGGUGGCGAAGGCGGGUCUCUGGGCCGAUACUGACGCUGAGGAGCGAAAGCGUGGGGAGCAAACAGG